UAAUUGCAAUAAUAUAUAUGAAAAUUAAAUUAUAAAAACUGACAUGAUUAGCACAAUUUAACAAUACUCUCCUAUUUCAGGACUAACAUGACUAAACCAAGCUGUUAUCCAAAAUUUCAAUGCCCUGCACAUUUAUCUAUCUCAAUUUUCAUCUAGUGGAGGAAUAACGUUGUAUCCCAAAAUGAUACCCUAAACCAAGAAUCGAUUUUAAAUUGCAGCUGCAGUCACAGGUGCAGUUCUCUUAUGAUAUGGAAAAUUGUACCAAAUGCAGCUGCAACUGCCACUGUGCAAUAUUGUGGCAGCGAUUAUGGUAAUAAGCCCUUGAAUGCAGCAGAAGAUAAGCAAAUAUUAUGAGGAAUGGUAUAUGAAAAUGCAAU